rnacentral:rRNA from 1 species
GACGAACGCUGGCGGCGUGCUUAACACAUGCAAGUCGAACGUGAUUUCUGUGGUAAUUCUUUCGGGUCUGGAAACGAACUGAUAGUGGCGAACGGGUGAGUAACACCUGAGCAUCCUACUUUAUACAGGGGGCUAGCCGUUGGAAACGACGAUUACUCCCGCAUGAGACCACAGAAUCGAAUGAUACAGGGGUUAAAGAUUUAGUGGUGUAAGAUGGGCUUGCGUCUGAUUAGCUAGGUGGACGGGUAAAGGACUACUAAGACGACGAGCAGUAGCCGGUGUGAGAGGGUGAACAGCCAGAUUGGAACUGAGACACGGUCCAAACGCCAGCGAGAGGCAGCGGUGGUGAAUAUAGCGCAGGGAGGGUAACCCUGAUACAGCGACGCCGCGUGAGCGAAGAAGGUUUUCGAAUCGUAAUGCUCUGUCCAAGGAGAAGAUGAGAACGGUAUCAUAGGAGGAGACCCCGGCAAAAUACGU